GGAGACGUAUCGAAGUGGUCAUAACGAGCCGCACUCGAAAUGCGGUGUACGGCAACGUACCGUGGGUUCGAAUCCCACCGUCUCCGCCA
rnacentral:tRNA from 1 species